CACGAAGUAGGUGGGGACAGGGCCGGGGGCGGCGGCGUGCUGACUCAGCGGGCGCGGAGCCGCGCAGCCCGCGUGCCCGGGCCGGACCGGUAUUUCCUGCUCCCCGCCCGCAGCCGCGGGUGUGAGUGUGCGCGGGGGGCGGCCGCAGGUGGAGCCGCGCCCGCGGAGGGGCCGCGCUGCGCCGCGCCGCCCCGUCGGGCCGCGGCCGCCCCACCUGCGGCGCGGGCGGCACCUGCGGCGGGAGCCCGCCCCGCUCCGCACUGCUCCGCACUGCUCCGCCGCCCCGCCCCGUCCCGUCCCGUCCCGUCCCGUCCCGUCCCGUCUCGUCCCGCCCCGGCGGAAGCCGCCCGGCGCGGGGGAGCGGCCCGGCCCGGCCCGGCCCCGCAGUCGCAGCCUCUCCCGGCGGGCGGCGGCAGCGCAGCCCCAGCCGCAGCUCCAGCCGCAGCCGCAGCCCCUGCUCCGCGCCGCACCGCGCCCGCGCAGCCUCCCGAGCAGGCGAGUACCCGCGCCGGCAGGUGCGGACCCGUCGCCGCCCCCCGUGCUCUGGCCUUUCCCUCUCUUUUUCUUUUUCUUUUUCUUUUUUUUCUUUUUCUCCUUUUCCUUCUUCCUUUUUCUUUUUUUCAUUUGCUUUUCCCUUUUUCUUUUUUCCCCUUUCUUUUUUCUUUCCUWKCCUUUUUUUCUCCUUCUGUUUCCUUUUUCUUUUUCCUUUUCUCUUUUUCUCUCCCCUUUCUCCCUCCACUCCUAGGGCGCACUCCGACUGCUCUCUCUUCGGGAGCUGGUGCGGGCGGCGGCGGCGGCACCGCGGCCCUGCGCGCCUCGCCGCGUGGGGGGCUGCUGCUGCCGCCGCCGCCCCGCACCUUGGGCGCGCAGGGCCGGGCGGGGCCUGGGGAUCGGCUUUCCUCUAACAGGAGUAAGCGGCUCUCGGUGUCUUUUUUCCAUGCUGAGCACUUUCCGGGCGACUGCGAUACUACGUGGGAAGUGGGAGAGUUGUCACCGAUGAAUCAGGGUUCUUGUUUACUCGGGCUUUUUUCGCUGUAG
rnacentral:lncRNA from 1 species